UGGGGAAUAUUGCGCAAUGGGGGAAACCCUGACGCAGCGACGCCGCGUGCGGGAUGAAGGCCUUCGGGUUGUAAACCGCUUUUGAUUGGGAGCAAGCUUUCGGGUGAGUGUACCUUUCGAAUAAGCGCCGGCUAACUACGUGCCAGCAGCCGCGGUAAUACGUAUGGGGCGAGCGUUGUCCGGAAUUAUUGGGCGUAAAGGGUACGUAGGCGGUCUAUUAAGUCAGGUGUGAAAGCGUGAGGCUUAACCUCAUUAAGCACUUGAAACUGAUAGACUUGAGUGAAGGAGAGGAAAGUGGAAUUCCUAGUGUAGCGGUGAAAUGCGUAGAUAUUAGGAGGAAUACCGGUGGCGAAGGCGACUUUCUGGACUUUUACUGACGCUCAGGUACGAAAGCGUGGGGAGCAAACAGG
rnacentral:rRNA from 1 species